CGAGCCACCACCGACUUGAGGAUCUCUGUGGUGAUAGACGGCAGUGCCCGCUCAUUUUAGUCCUCGCCAAUGCUGGUGUAGAUAUGAGGAAGCUGGCUGGCCACCGGCCGGAAGAGGAUGUGAAGUACGAUGUUGACGUUCUGCAAGUCUUUGCCACCAGUGAUGACUGGUACAUUCCCUGGUCGAGAGCUGCAGUCAAAGAUAAUUGGCUUCUGUACCCAAGGGUUGAGAACGAUGGACAGAGACUCCCAAAUCCUCAGUGACUCCCCAAAGUCUCCAAGAAGAGAAGGGCACAGUCACGAAGGUCAUCACCUGAACUGUGGUAUGAUAACCACUGAGCUUAACUGUCCUGCUGUCCUUGGCCUGGCCUGGGCUGUGGACACAGGACACUGGAGAAUUGAUUGCCACACGGUGCAUGGACAAGGUGAGGUCAGUCUUCCCACAGGAAAAGCCCCUUCAUCUUCAGGGUCCGAGGCCAAAGACUGCCUCUGCCUCGGUGCCAUGGAGACACAGGAGCCUGGGGCAACUGUCAAGACGCCACCAUCCAGGGAUCUUCUGUGGACUGCACACUGCCGAGCUCUGGACUUACUGAGAGCCACUGUCACCAGUCCUGCUGAUGUGACUGCGCUGUCAUCCAGCUGGAUCAGCCAAUCAGCUGCUUCUGAUGGAUGUCUCACUGCAGGCUUUUUUUUUUUUUUUUU
rnacentral:lncRNA from 1 species